rnacentral:lncRNA from 1 species
CAGAAUUCAGAAAGUAGGAGAUAGAGGACAUACCUGGAUAGCAUAGAUAAUUUGUAACGUGCUUCCUCAAGUUGUAAGGGGUUAGAUAACAAAUAAUAAAAUAUAGAAAUCCUAGCAUGCUCAUUAUCUAAUUAGCAUAGCAAAAGUGAUCAAAGUAUACAGAAUCAUCAAUUAUCACAUACAUCUUGUAUAUAAUUCCUAAAAAA